UACUCCGUAUAAACAGAACUGUGGGGACACGGGUGGAAAGCCGACCCGGGAAUGGAAAGACCGGGACAAGCGAGGUACCUGAUAAGGAGGCAAACCCCCUUAUCAAUGGGAAGACGUGAUGUGGAGCGAACCAAAGGGUAGCGAAGCAGGUGAGCCAGCCGUCGAGAAAAGCCGCUAUUGUUUUGUACGGACCCGUACCGUAAACCGACACAGGUGGAUGAGGAGAGAAUCCUAAGGCCGACGGGAGAAGCAUUGUUAAGGAACUCGGCAAAAUGACCCCGUAACUUCGGGAGAAGGGGUGCCUGAGGAAUCAGGCCGCAGAGAAUAGGUCCAAGCAACUGUUUAGCAAAAACACAGGUCUAUGCGAAACCGAAAGGUGAAGUAUAUGGGCUGACGCCUGCCCGGUGCUGGAAGGUUACGAGGAGUGCUUAGAGGCUUGCCUCGAAGGUGCGAAUUUAAGCCCCAGUAAACGGCGGCCGUAACUAUAACGGUCCUAAGGUAGCGAAAUUCCUUGUCGGGUAAGUUCCGACCCGCACGAAAGGCGUAAUGAUUUGGACGCUGUCUCGACAAUGCACCCGGUGAAAUUGAAAUACCAGUGAAGAUGCUGGUUACCCGCGCCAGGACGGAAAGACCCCAUGGAGCUUUACUCUAGUUUGAUACUGGGAUUCGGUACUGCAUGUACAGGAUAGGUGGGAGACUGUGAAUCUGUGACGCCAGUUGCAGAGGAGUCAAUGUUGGGAUACCACCCUUGUAGUAUUGGAUUUCUAACCAACAGCCGUGAACCGGCUGGGGGACAAUGUCAGGCGGGGAGUUUGACUGGGGCGGUCGCCUCCGAAAGGGUAUCGGAGGCGCUCAAAGGUUCCCUCAGAAUGGUCGGAAACCAUUCGAAGAGUGCAAAGGCAGAAGGGAGCUUGACUGCGACACCGACGGGUGGAGCAGGUAGGAAACUAGGACUUAGUGAUCCGGUGGUAUGAAAGUGGGAUUGCCAUCGCUCAACGGAUAAAAGCUACCCUGGGAUAACAGGCUUAUCACUCCCAAGAGUUCACAUCGACGGAGUGGUUUGGCACCUCGAUGUCGGCUCAUCGCAUCCUGGGGCUGUAGUAGGUCCCAAGGGUUGGGCUGUUCGCCCAUUAAAGCGGUACGCGAGCUGGGUUCAGAACGUCGUGAGACAGUUCGGUCCCUAUCCGGCGCGGGCGUAGGAUAUUUGAGAGGAGCUGCCCUAGUACGAGAGGACCGGGGUGGACUGGCCUCUGGUGUACCGGUUGUAUUACCAAAUGCAUAGCCGGGUAGCCAAGCCGGGACGGGAUAAACGCUGAAGGCAUCUAAGCGUGAAGCCCCCCUCAAGAUAAGAUAUCCCUGACAAUAAGUCAAUAAGACCCCUUGAAGACGACGAGGUAGAUAGGUCCGAGGUGGAAGUGCAGUAAUGUAUGCAGCUGACGGAUACUAAUAGGUCGAAGGCUUGUC
rnacentral:rRNA from 1 species